ACCAGAAGUCACUGGCGCCAACCCGCAAGGGAGGCAGGUGCCCAAGGUAUGGUUGGUAAUUGGGGUGAAGUCGUAACAAGGUAGCUGUAGGUGAACCUGCAGAAGGAUCA
rnacentral:rRNA from 1 species